rnacentral:rRNA from 1 species
AUUGAACGCUGGCGGCAGGCCUAACACAUGCAAGUCGAGCGGAUGAGUGGAGCUUGCUCCAUGAUUCAGCGGCGGACGGGUGAGUAAUGCCUAGGAAUCUGCCUGGUAGUGGGGGACAACGUUUCGAAAGGAACGCUAAUACCGCAUACGUCCUACGGGAGAAAGUGGGGGAUCUUCGGACCUCACGCUAUCAGAUGAGCCUAGGUCGGAUUAGCUAGUUGGUGAGGUAAAGGCUCACCGAGGCGACGAUCCGUAACUGGUCUGAGAGGAUGAUCAGUCACACUGGAACUGAGACAAGGUCCAGACUCCUACGGGAGGCAGCAGUGGGGAAUAUUGGACAAUGGGCGAAAGCCUGAUCCAGCCAUGCCGCGUGUGUGAAGAAGGUCUUCGGAUUGUAAAGAACUUUAAGUUGGGAGGAAGGGCAGUAAGUUAAUACCUUGCUGUUUUGACGUUACCAACAGAAUAAGCACCGGCUAACUUCGUGCCAGCAGCAGCCGCGGUAA